CCCAGGCUUGAACAGCGAGUGACCAUUCCUGAAAAGGAACUUCCGCAAGGACACUCGUAGAGGUGCUGCAUGGCUGUCGUCAGCUCGUGUCGUGAGAUGUUGGGUUAAGUCCCGNAACGAGCGCAACCCUUGUUUGCUGUUGCCAUCAGGUAAAGCUGGGCACUCUGCAAAGACUGCCGGUGAUAAACCGGAGGAAGGUGGGGAUGACGUCAAGUCAGCAUGGCCUUUAUGUCUGGGGCUACACACGUGCUACAAUGGCCGGUACAAACCGUCGCAAAACCGUAAGGUCGAGCUAAUCGGAGAAAGCCGGUCUCAGUUCGGAUCGUAGGCUGCAACUCGCCUGCGUGAAGUUGGAAUCGCUAGUAAUCGCGGAUCAGCACGCCGCGGUGAAUACGUUCCCGGGCCUUGUACACACCGCCCGUCACAUCACGAAAGCCGGUUGUACUAGAAGUCGCCAUACCAACCCGCAAGGGAGGGAGGCGCCUAAGGUAUGGUCGGUGAUUGGGGUGAAGUCGUAACAAGGUAGGCGUAGUGCU
rnacentral:rRNA from 1 species